AAUAUUUUGAACAUUUUUUUAAAAUUCUUUUUUAUUGUUAAUUUUGUUUUGCACUGUAAAACUGAUUAAAAAUUUAAGCCGGUCUUAAUACACUUCUGUAUUAUAAGGAAGUGUAAGAAGGAAUUUCUUAAUAAAUGUGUUUCCAUGUUUAAAUCAAGCAUAUUGAAAGUAAUAUGCCAUGUGUUGAAGGCUUUUCUAUUUGUAUAACGAUUCAUGGUAUUUUUUUUUAUGUCAUUGUGUUGCAAUAAUUUAACUCAUUUGACUUGCUAAAAAUAUUUUGUCUAUUAAGAAUUACGGUUUAUUUUAUUAUUCAUUAAUCUAACUAUGCUGUGUUUUAAAUGAAUCAUGAAUAAGAAUAGUUCUUUAUUCUGUCAUUUAAAAUUGUCCUGUAAGAGAAUAAGAAGCUAUAAAUAUUAGCUAAUCUAGUUGCCAAGUUGGGAUUCAUUAUUUAAUUUACCUCCUAUGCAAUGAUUAAUGCUGCAAAAUGUAUGGUUAUGUUAUUAUAGUAUAUUCACAAAAGAAAUAUCACAAGGUUUGAGAGGUGGCCUAUUGCAUUCUUUCAGAAAUUUACUGUAUGUUUCAAUGUGUUAAGUGCCUUGUUGUAAAGUAAAAUUUUAAGCCUAGAAUGCAUUAUUUUCCUGACAUAUAUUUUUCAUUAUGAUAUAUACUGUAUGUUAUUGUAAUAGUUUUAUUAAAUGCUUAUGUUUUAAUCAAAUAUGUGAAUUUCAGAAGCUCUUUUCUCCUACCCAUAAGUACCUUAAUCAUUGGUCUAUCAUAUGGGAUUUGAAUUCAGGAUCUUUUUUUUAAGAGAGGAAAUUAUCUUUGUUUAGAAGUAUGUUUUCCAUGCUUGUGCUUUUGUGUUUGUAAAAAACAUUUCAGGAGGAAUUUAGGAGUGUAACUAUAGUUUGUACUUCAAAAUGUUGUUUUACAUUUACAUUUUAAGUGCCUAAUUGUUAGUUAAAACUAAUUUAUGUUUUUAUUCUAAAGAGAAUAUAUGUACUUGGUUUCUAAUCUCUUUGGCUUUGCUUUAAAAAAAAGCAAGAGCCUCUACUUUGUAUUUACCCAAUAAACCACCGUGACAUCAACAGUUUUUUCAAAAUCA